UGUAAACACAUUUGUGCACAAAAUUUGAGAGAAAUAAACUUUUUGUGAAUAUGGAACAUUUCUGUUUUAUUUCAGCUCAUGAAACAUGGGACCAACACUUUACAUGGUGUAUUUAUAUUUUUGUUCAAUAUCAAACAAACAUGCCUCUCUGACAUGUAAAAUACUGAAAUCACAGCAGCUCUAUUCAUAGAAUUUUUAUCUAGAAUGUUCCAAAACCUUUUCCUACUGAACAUGGCCCUGGUUUUAAAAAUGGCAGUUAUUGGCAACACCAUGGCAACAACACAACCACAACCAACUCUGAUUGGCCAGUCAAAAGACACAACCAACUCUGAUUGGCCAGUCAAAAGACACAACCAACUCUGAUUGGCCAGUCAAAAGACACAACAAACUCUGAUUGGCCAGUCAAAAGACACAACAAACUCUGAUUGGCCAGUUAAGCCAGACAGAGGUACUGUAUGUAGUAAAAAAACAACUUUAAAAAGCAGGAAUAAUAAACAAUAAUAAAACAAUGCAAUACUGUGAGAUCAUGGCACAGAUAUAGACAGACUGACCGGCAGAUAUAUGACCAUAGAAAUAGACACAGGCAGGGUAUAGAUAAUACUGGUGUGGUACUUUAAAAAUACCGCAGCGUUGUUGGAGCAACACUACGUAGUUGUGUGUUCGUAUCCAUGGUUACCAUAGGUAGAGCCCAGCCUCGUUCCAGACACAGCGGAGAUAACGUCAGAGCAGGUCCACUGACUACAUCUCCCAGAGGGCUUUUUCCAAAAUAAAAGUCCCCGUGAUAUCUGCACCGGUUGUUCACGAGUAUUGAGUGAACCUCGUGUCAUGUAAGCUACAACAGUACUGUGUGUCUCUGCGUGAUGGUGGACAAGGUUCAGUUUCAAACUGUCACUUCUAGAGAUAUGGGUUUAACAGAUCCCAAGGUCCUGUUUCAAACUGUCACUUCUAGAGAUAUGGGUUUAACAGAUCCCAAGGUCCUGUUUCAAACUGUCACUUCUAGAGAUAUGGGUUUAACAGAUCCCAAGGUUCCGUUGUUUCCAUAUUGGUCAGUGCGUGACCUGAACUCUUAUUGUGAAACACUUUGUUCCAGAUGCAUUUCCUGGGCUCCAUGUAACAGUUCCAUGACACAGAAUAGCCCACCAGGUAACCAACCAGCCAAGUCCAUAUCUCAGAAAGGUAUAGCCACACCUUUUACUCCAUACUGUAGUUACAGCUCCAUAAUCCAUACAGGGCAGAGGACCAUAAACCAUAGCCAGUCUAUUCCCCAUGUAGGUACGAGGUGAGCCAUGUAAUCCCAUCCCAGGUAGGUCCAUCCCAGAUCAGUUUAUCCAGGUAGGUCCAUCCCAGGUAGCCAUAGACAGGUAGGUCCAUCUCGGGUAGCCAUAGACAGGUAUGUCCAUCUCGGGUAGGUCCAUCCCAGGUAGGUCCAUCCCAGGUAGGUCCAUCCCAGGUAGCCAUAGACAGGUAGGUCCAUCCCAGAUCAGUUUAUCCAGGUAGGUCCAUCCCAGGUAGCCAUAGACAGGUAGGUCCAUCCCAGAUCAGUUUAUCCAGGUAGGUCCAUCCCAGGUAGCCAUAGACAGGUAUGUCCAUCUCGGGUAGCCACAGACAGGUAGGUCCAUCCCAGAUCAGUUUAUCCAGGUAGGUCCAUCCCAGGUAGCCAUAGACAGGUAUGUCCAUCCCAGGUAGCCAUAGACAGGUAUGUCCAUCUCGGGUAGCCACAGACAGGUAGGUCCAUCCCAGGUAGCCAUAGACAGGUAUGUCCAUCUCGGUCCAUCCCAGGUAGGUCCAUCCCAGGUAGGUCCAUCCCAGGUAGCCAUAGACAGGUAUGUCCAUCCCAGGUAGCCAUAGACAGGUAUGUCCAUCUCGGGUAGCCACAGACAGGUAGGUCCAUCCCAGGUAGCCAUAGACAGGUAUGUCCAUCUCGGGUAGCCAUAGACAGGUAUGUCCAUCUCGGGUAGGUCCAUCCCAGGUAUGUCCAUCCCAGGUAGCCAUAGACAGGUAUGUCCAUCCCAGGUAGCCAUAGAUAGGUAGGUCCAUCCCAGGUAGCCACAGACAGGUAGGUCCAUCCCAGGUAGCCAUAGACAGGUAUGUCCAUCCCAGGUAGCCAUAGACAGGUAUGUCCAUACAUGCAGCCAUAGACAGGUAGGUCCAUCCCAGGUAGCCAUAGACAGGUAUGUCCAUACAUGCAGCCAUAGUCCAAGUAAAUCUUAGCCUGCAGGUAUGUCUCCGUCCUCUGUCCCAGGUUAGAUUUGUCCCAGGGCCAGGCUAAACCAGACUUAACCCCGGUACAGUCAUGGUUCUGGCACCAGUGUGGCCCCAGUUAGGCCCUGUGGUCUCAGGACUGGUUGUCCCCAGUAGGGGUUGGUGGUUCGAGUGACAGUUCUUCGUCAGACAGCCCCGUUUCCACAGCGAUCACCAGGGAUGCCACAGACGCACUGCUGGUCAUGGGCUGGAACUCACCUAGAGAGAGAGAGACAGGGGGAGGAGGAGACAAAAGAAGGAUGAGAGAGACCGAGAGAGGGAGAGAGAAAGAGGGAUGAGAGAGAGAAAGAAGAGGGGGGAGGGAGAGAAAGAAAGAGGGAGAGGUGAGGAUGCAAUUCAUUAAAGCUGCCACCAGGUGGCACUAUGAGUGCUGUUUGUGUGUGUGCGUAUGUGUGCGUGUGUGUGCGUGGUGUGACUGUGGGCUGCGUGGUGUGACUGUGCGUGUCGCUAGCCUCGCCCGCCGCCCGGCGCUAGCCUCGCCCGCCGCCCGGCGCUAGCCUCGCCCGCCGCCCGGCGCUAGCCUCGCCCGCCGCUAGUCUCGCCCGCCGCUAGUCUCGCCCGCCGCCUGUCGCUAGUCUCGCCCGCCGCCUGUCGCUAGUCUCGCCCGCCGCCUGUCGCUAGUCUCGCCC
ensembl:lncRNA